rnacentral:lncRNA from 1 species
CAAAGCCUUCCUCUUCUCCUCCAGUAAUUUCUCAUACUCCUCAAGGGUCAUCUCCUGCAAAGUAAGUCUAUAUCAAUGUUGAACAGUACACAUUCAAUUCUAGCUAUUUGACUGAUCUGCAUACUGUCCAUUAGACUACCAUACCGUUCAUCAUUAUAAAAAUCAUCAAAUAACAAAUAUAAGCAAACAAUCAAUCAGGUCUCCACCUAGUUAAAAUCUUAGUCAAAGCGAGGGACCCAGUUCAAAGAAUAAUCCCAAUAAAUGUUCUAUUCCCUAAAGUUGGCCCACUGCUUCGUCACUGGAACUUUUUCUUGGCAGGUUAGUCACCGAUGCCAAAAGGAAUUUAUCACAAAGGACAAACCAUCUUGAAGUUCUCCAGCUCUUUCAAGUAAUAACAAGGGACCGAGGGGAAAUUUCAAGAGCAGUUGACGCAUGUGACAACAACAACAACUACCCAGUAUAGUCCCACAAAGUGGGGUCUCGGGAGGGUAAUAUGUAGACGAGUAUUCGUUGAACAGUACACCGACUCAAUUCUAGCUAUUAUAUACUGAUCUGCAGGUACUGUCCAUUACAGUACCAUGCCAUUCUUCAUUAAAAAAACUUGAAAUAACAAAUAAAGGCAAAAAAUCAAUCAGGCCUCCACCAGUUAAAAUCUUAGUCAAAGCGAGGGACCCAGUUGAAACAAAGAAAAAUCUCAGUAAAUUCUCUGUUCUGAACCUAUUCUUGGCAGGUGGGAGCUGUAGCAAAUAAUCACUGAUGCCGAAAGGAAUUUUAUCACAAGGACAAACCAUCUUUAAAGUUCUCCAGCUCUCUUUCAAGUAGUAACAAGGGACCGAAGAGAAAUUUCAAGAACAGUUGAUGCUAUGUGACAAGUACCUCAAAAUUUCAGUUAGUUGUUGCUUCGCUAUAGACCUGAUCUUAAAAGUAUGAAAGGGUAUAAUAAAGGUAUGAAAUUUCAUUACAACAGACCACUAAAGGGUGCUGAUUAAAAAACUACUUACAGAAGUAAAAGCUCCCUAUCUAAAUAUGAAAGCAAUCUAUCAAAUGUAGGAUCCUCUUUACAGUAUUUACAGUAUAUUCACAGCAAAAAGACAAGAUAUAAACAGUUAAAUUUGACAUGUGAAAAAGUAAAUUGCUUUAGACGAAAGAACACAGCUUCAGAUACUUUUCUGAAUUCUCAUUCCAUAAUAAAAUCCCAAGGGCCUUCCUGGUGUACUGACAGGAUAAGGACAGUCAAGAAAUGCAUCAGAAGACCUCACAUUAGACAAGAUAUUAAUUACAGACUGUCUGAAAGGCUCCAAAAAGCGGGUAGACUAAAAUGGAAAUUGUGCAAACAUUCCUUUCCCAAACCGAUUUAAGUGAACACCACAGUCAAGAAACAGAAUGCUGAAACCAAUAACAAUCUUCUACCCCCAAUAAGAAGAUUGGGCAAAAAAAUGCAGCCAGGUUGACUAAGCUCUCGCUAUGCCCGGGGUCCGGGGAAGGACCGGACCACAAAGGUCUAUUGUACUCAACCUCACCCUGCAUUUCUGCAUGAGGAUGUUUCUACGGCUUGAACCCGUGACCUCCUGGUCACAUAGUAGCAACUUUACCAGUAGUUAACGCCAAGGCUCCCGUUCAAUAAGAAGAUCGGGUAGUAUGAUAUAAUAUAAAUUUGCUCGACAAAACAUU